rnacentral:rRNA from 1 species
GAUGAACGCUGGCGGCGUGCCUAAUACAUGCAAGUCGAGCGAACAGACGAGGAGCUUGCUCCUUUGACGUUAGCGGCGGACGGGUGAGUAACACGUGGGUAACCUACCUAUAAGACUGGGAUAACUUCGGGAAACCGGAGCUAAUACCGGAUAAUAUUUCGAACCGCAUGGUUCGAUAGUGAAAGAUGGCUUUGCUAUCACUUAUAGAUGGACCUGCGCCGUAUUAGCUAGUUGGUAAGGUAACGGCUUACCAAGGCAACGAUACGUAGCCGACCUGAGAGGGUGAUCGGCCACACUGGAGCUGAGACACGGUCCAGACUCCUACGGGAGGCAGCAGAAGGGAAUCUGCCGCAGUGGGCGAAAGCCUGACGGAGCAACGCCGCGUGAGUGAUGGAGGUCUUCGGAUCGUAAAACUCUGUUAUUAGGGAAGAACAAACGUGUAAGUAACUGUGCACGUCUUGACGGUACCUAAUCAGAAAGCCACGGCUAACUACGUG